CCGCCUCAGCCUCCGCCUCCGCCUCCGCCGGUGGCUGGGUGUCGCGGCAGAGGGAGUCGGGGGGGGGGACGACGGCGGCGGCAGGGCCUGCUGCGCCCCUCAGGGCGUCUCCUGAACGAACAGUAGGGGCUCCCAUCUCUGUUUUGUUAGCAAAAUGAGCCAUUUAAGUAAGAUGACUGGAAAUGUGGGCAGACGGAACUAAAAAUUGCUAGGUUUCAGACAUCCGCCUGGCAGCAUGCUCGGUGGGGGCUAGUGGACACGGGCGCUGGGCGUUUGGGCGACGGCGAGUGCCGGCGGGCUUGCGUGGAGCAGCCGGCAGUCUGCUGGAAGAGGUUUCGGAAAGCUCGGUUUGAGGCCAGCAACAGAGACUGAGGAAGUAGAUUGUGUGAAAUUGUUGGUACUGUAGAAGAUUGGACAUGGAAGAGGAUGGUGGUCAAUGGGAGGAAACAAGAGAAUGAAGAGAUGGGAGAUUUUUUACCACAAGAGUAAGAAAGUGUGAAGAGUGUCUUCAGCCAUGUGACGUUGCAGUGACCCAGGGGCAGAUGCCCAGAGAGUGGUGAGAGAACAAGGCAGUAUGUGUUGGCACUUCCCAGGAAUGCUUCCUCCCUCCCUUCCAGCCAGCCGUGGCGCAAUGGUGGUCAUCCUCCUCCGUGACUUCAUUCUAGCGAGGAUUGUUGAACUAUUCUUCAAGGGUCAGGUAGACAGUGGGAAGUCUUGUUUUCUUCUAGGAGCAAAGUCAGACUGGGAAAACAGAUAAGCAGGAGAAGCUGCUUUGAUAAUGAUCUGUUGUGGCAACAGUGAGACAGUUGCAGGCUCCAUUCUGCAGAAGGUGAAAAACUGCAGAGGCCUAAAAAGGAAACCAAAAGAGGAGUCAGAUGACCUUUUUGAGAAAUCCUUCCCGUUCCUGGAUCAGUAGGAAAGAAGUAGAAAUAAAUAAGUAGAAAGAACAUGGGAAAUACUGGUGUUAGCCAAGUAGAGUGUUUGGGGUUUGUGGAGCACUGGGGUAAAGUCUGAAUAAAAUUGGCUGGCUGUA